rnacentral:lncRNA from 1 species
CACGGAUGAAAAUUUCAAACAACCGACCCCAUAUUCAACAUUUCAAUGCUAGAAAGAGAAAUAUACAUUGACUCCAAAAUUCUCAACAUAAAACACCUUCUCCCCUUUAAUAUUCUACUUCAAACCUAUAAUAAAUUCUUCCAUUUAACUUUACCUGCAAAAUUAACAAGAACAAGAAAACAAAUCACUGAUAACCAUUUCAAUUCCCUCCUAUUUCUCGUUUUUUGUUAAUUUCCAUAAUUUUAUUAUCUCUCCUAACUAUACAUAGAUGACAUUAUGCAAUUUCAUUUUUGGUUUUAUUGUCAGAUGAAUAUUCAGUGCGAUGAAACACAUAUUAUUCAGAACAUAUGUUGAAAGUUUGAAACCAUGUAUGUGAUAAAAGUAUUGCUCUAGAUUUAGAAUUAACCUCACUAUCGUUUAUUAUGAAUUAAUGAGAGAAAAUAUGGUAGUUUAUGUUUGUUCAUAGCACAAUGAAAGAACUCAAAGAAGUAACUACAAAAUAAAGUUAGAAAACACGAGGGUGUCUCUGCGAAGAAGGAAUUAUAAAUUAAUGGUGUGAAUGAAAAAAUUAAAGUUCAGGAAUUAUGAUAUGAGCAAGAGAAGUUUAAGAAUGAUAUGGUUCACUUUUCCCAUAUUUUUUUCCUCAAAACAAUAUACCACAUCAAUUGAUAAAAAUAUAUAAUUUAAUUGAAAAUGCACAAUAACCAACACCCAAAACACGCAAGGAAUCAAUCAAAUGAUUCAAAUCAAUAAAUAAAAAAUCAUAAACAAUAAUAAUAAAUAACUUUUGUAUUAAGUAUCCAAUGUAAUUGGGUGUGAAAUUAAAUAGGUUCUACAGAUUACAGCUCAUCAUAAGAUCAAAAAAUUCGUUCCAAUCAUCAAAGAGAAUAAAGAACGACAUCAUUGCUCGCACCAGAUGCAGCGGAUUCAUUGACGGUGGCGCCGCCGUGAGACCGGUGGUCGUUGUUGUUAGAGACUGGCGGAGGGUGAUAGAAUUUGCGUCCUGUCUGGGGGCAGUUAGAGUGAAACCUUGCAACAAUCCUCGCACCUUGGUCAAGCAUCUCCACGAUCAUGAACUUCCCCAUGGCACCCAAAAACAACACACCCUCUUAAAAGGAAGAAUAAAGAAGAGAAAUUUUGUGUUAUAAGAAGACGAAAGACAUGAAAAAAAAAUGAGAAUGGAAAAAUUGUUGGAAAUUCUGUGUGAGAUUGAAAGACAAAGCGGCGCUGUAUAUAUAUUUGCUAGCUUGCUUGGAAUUUUCUCGAACCCUAUUCUCCACUUUCUCGGGUCUUUCUCUUUUUUCUAUUUUUUUAUUUAUUUUUAAAGGUAUUAG